AGGGAGGCUAAGGCAGGGGUGAAAAAACUAAGCCGCCAAGUAGUUGGUGUGUUGGCACUGCCUCAAACUCUUCUAUCUCGAACAACCAGUUACAGUGUCCUGCCAGCUAUCAAGAAGGGCACUAAAGUUACUAAAAUGGAGACAACAGAACCCCUAUGUCCCUUGACACCUGAUGGGGAGAUAAU